rnacentral:rRNA from 1 species
GAGUUUGAUUAUGGCUCAGAACGAACGCUGGCGGCGCGUCUUAAGCAUGCAAGUCGAACGGUAAGGGAGAGCUUGCUCUCCCCUAGAGUGGCGGACUGGUGAGUAACGCGUAGGUGACCUACCCUGAAGAUGGGGAUAGCUAGUAGAAAUAUUAGAUAAUACCGAAUAAGCUCAUUUGCAUAAAGGCAGAUGAGGAAAGGAGCUACGGCUCCGCUUUAGGAUGGGCCUGCGUCCCAUUAGCUAAGUUGGUGAGGUAAAGGCUUACCAAGGCAACGAUGGGUAUCCGGCCUGAGAGGGUGAACGGACACAUUGGGACUGAGAUACGGCCCAAACUCCUACGGGAGGCAGCAGCUAAGAAUCUUCCGCAAUGGACGAAAGUCUGACGGAGCGACGCCGUGUGAAUGAAGAAGGCUGAAAAGUUGUAAAAUUCUUUUGCAGAUGAAGAAUAAGGAUAGGAGGGAAUGCCUAUCUGA